GUCCUCCACUUUGAAAGAGUGAGGCUUGGCCCCAUAGUCAUAAUAGUCGACGGUACGUUCACCCCUGGUUGUCUUGAUACGAACUUUUAUCCCUCUUGUUGUAAUGGGCUUGCUGAGAGUAAAAAUCUUUCCUCUUACCAAGAGACAGAUACGUUUGGUGACUUAGCGAGUAGCUAAAUGAGGCAGGAGAUGAUGCAAUGGGUGUCUGAAUGGCCAAUAUCUCCUCACUUGGUAGAACUUGACUUCCACUUCCCAUUUGUUG
rnacentral:lncRNA from 1 species